rnacentral:rRNA from 1 species
UACGACUACAUAUCAGGCAUAUCAAUAAGCGGAGGAAAAGAAACUAACUAAGGAUUCCCUCAGUAACGGCGAGUGAAGCGGGAAGAGCUCAAAUUUGAAAUCUUCAAGGUUCUACCUUGACGAAUUGUAGUUUAAAGAAGUGUUUUCUGUUGAAGUUUUGGUAAAAGUUCUUUGGAAUAGGACAUCAUAGAGGGUGAGAAUCCCGUAUUUGACCAUUAUUUUCAGCUUUGUGAUACACUUUCAAAGAGUCGGAUUGUUUGGGAAUGCAGUCCAAAAUGGGUGGUAAAUUUCAUCUAAAGCUAAAUAUUGGCGAGAGACCGAUAGCGAACAAGUACCGUGAGGGAAAGAUGAAAAGAACUUUGAAAAGAGAGUUAAACAGUACGUGAAAUUGUCAAAAGGGAAGCGUUUGACACCAGUGUUGUUUUCUCGAAAAUCAAUUAAAAAAGGUUGGAUUUUGUGUUGUAUUGACCUUAACAGCUUUCUUCACUCUUUUCAUGUCUUUUUUUAAUGCACUUUUCGUUUAACAAGUCAACAUCAGUUUCUUUUGUUGUAAAAGGGUCAUUGGAAGGUGGCUUUCUCUUCGGAGAAAGUGUUUAUAGCCUUUGAUCUCUGCAAUCGGAGAGACUGAGGUCUGCAGCGUAGAUCCUUCGGGGUUAGAUACAUUUGUGCUAAGCUACAGCUUUUCAUAGACAACUUGUUGACUAUGUUUAGUCUUGUAACUUACCCGCUUAUGCUAUUUUACCUACGCUUAGGAUGUUGAGCGCAUGUCUCUCUCU